rnacentral:rRNA from 1 species
AACGAACGCUGGCGGCAUGCCUAACACAUGCAAGUCGAACGAGACCUUCGGGUCUAGUGGCGCACGGGUGCGUAACGCGUGGGAACCUGCCCUUAGGUUCGGAAUAACUCCCCGAAAGGGGUGCUAAUACCGGAUAAUGUCUUCGGACCAAAGAUUUAUGGCCUUUGGAUGGGCCCGCGUUGGAUUCGCUAGUUGGUAGGGUACAAGCCUACCAAGGCGACGAUCCAUAGCUGGUCUGAGAGGAUGAUCAGCCACACUGGGACUGAGGCACGGCCCAGACUCCUACGGAAGGCAGCAGUGGGGAAUAUUGGACAAUGGGCGAAAGCCUGAUCCAGCAAUGCCGGGUGAGUGAUGAAGGCCUUAGGGUUGUAAAGCUCUUUUACCCGGGAUGAUAAUGACAGUACCGGGAGAAUAAGCUCCGGCUAACUCCGUG